GACGAACGCUGGCGGCGUGCCUAAUACAUGCAAGUAGAACGCUGAAGAGAGGAGCUUGCUCUUCUUGGAUGAGUUGCGAACGGGUGAGUAACGCGUAGGUAACCUGCCUGGUAGCGGGGGAUAACUAUUGGAAACGAUAGCUAAUACCGCAUAAAAUUGAUUAUUGCAUGAUAAUUAAUUGAAAGAUGCAACUGCAUCACUACCAGAUGGACCUGCGUUGUAUUAGCUAGUUGGUGAGGUAACGGCUCACCAAGGCGACGAUACAUAGCCGACCUGAGAGGGUGAUCGGCCACACUGGGACUGAGGCACGGCCCAGGCUCCUACGGGAGGCAGCAGUAGGGAAUCUUCGGCAAUGGGGGGAACCCUGACCGAGCAACGCCGCGUGAGUGAAGAAGGUUUUCGGAUCGUAAAGCUCUGUUGUAAGAGAAGAACGGGUGUGAGAGUGGAAAGUUCACACUGUGACGGUAGCUUAACAGAAAGGGACGGCUAACUACGUG
rnacentral:rRNA from 1 species